rnacentral:rRNA from 1 species
AUUGAACGCUGGCGGCAGGCCUAACACAUGCAAGUCGAGCGAGCGGCGGACGGGUGAGUAAUGUCUGGGAACCUGCCUGUUGGAGGGGGAUAACUACUGGAAACGGUAGCUAAUACCGCAUACCAUCAGAUGUGCCCAGGGGGGAUUAGCUAGUGGGUGGGGUAACGGCUCACCAAGGCGACGAUCCCUAGCGGGUCUGAGAGGAUGACCAGCAACACUGGAACUGAGACACGGUCCAGACUCCUACGGGAGGCAGCAGUGGGGAAUAUUGGACAAUGGGCGAAAGCCUGAUCCAGCCAUGCCGCGUGUGUGAAGAAGGUCUUCGGGUUGUAAAGCACUUUAAGCGGGGAGGCGUUACCAGCAGAAGAAGCACCGGCUAACUACGUGCCAGCAGCCGCGGUAAUUC